GGUGCAUGGUUCUGUCGUGCCCUCCUCCGUGCAUGCCCCUGCCCCACCCCCGACCGUGAUCCCACCGGCAAACCCGACCGUCAUCCUCCUCCCCCGCCUCCCUUCCAUCCUCGCCCGCCCCUUCAAUACUUCUCCCGUGCCCCUUCCAUCCCCAUCCGUGCUCCACCAUUCCACACACGCGCCCCUUCCAUCCUCGUCCGUGCUCCUCCCACGACCUAUGCGGCAGCGGAUCCGAAGCACAACAUCCACGACGAGGUCUUCUCUGUGCUGCACGAGGGUGGCCACCGCCGCCGACGCGGGCGGGGCCACCACCACGGUCGUGGCGCAGCACGCGUCGUCGCUAAUCAACAGCCUCGGCAACUCUCGCGAGGGCAACCCUGACCGCGACGGCAGCCUGUCUAUGCUCUUCUCCAAGAAGCUCCUAGCGCAGACCGGCUGGGCAACCGGUCCCGUGGUGGCGGUGGCUCGACGAGGCGGUCCCCUCCCUCGGGCGAGGAUGGAAGGGAGGCGGGGUGCGUCUGCCGCCAAUGAACGCGCUGCAGAUCCUGCGGGAGACAGUGCGGGUGCUGCGCGGAGACCCGCACGCGUUCACAUCCAUCUUCCUGCUGCUCUGCCCGGUGUCCGGUUGCCUCCUCCUGUCCGCGGCCGCACUCUUUUGUGCUCUCGACUCCCCGCCAUCAACGCCCGCCAUCGAACCCAUACGCGAUAUCAACACCGCCCGUCAUGGAAGGUUCCCGAGGAUCCCCCACCCUCCUCCCCCACUGCUGUCGCCUUCCCGCUCGCGGGUCGCUCACUCCACUCUGUGUCACCUUCUCCGGCGGACCUCGGCUCUCCGCUACUCCUCCCACGAAGCCCAAGCUGGGGACACUAUUGGGUAGGAGGUCCUGCGCAUGUUCCUUGAGGAGAGGCAACUGCACGGCGAUUUCGUCACCAAGAUCUCUGACAUGGUCUGGAGGAGGAAUGGCGACAAUUGAUGCGGUUGAGGCGACCACGGACCAAGACAGUGUUGUAGAUGUUGUUUAGCCUGAAGACAUGUUGUGGACGAGGAAAUGUUGAGACUAGCGGCAACCAGAGGUUGGGUGCCCGGUGACAGCAGCCCUCCUUUGAGCAAGAGGCUUUCAGCUAAGGAUUGGCAGAAUGAGAGCGACAAAAGGAAGGAGCGAAAUAUGAAGCACUCAAGGAUGAAUUGCUGCUCUUGACCACAGGGAUUGGAGCAGCAUGUAGUUUAUACUGUCUCCUGGGUUUCUCCCCGUCGUCGUGCGAUGUCGUGCAUAGCUGCUCAGCCACCGCCCCCCUCCGCUGAGACAACCACUGUCUACCAACCCACACCGCUCCUUCCUGUCCCUUUCACCACCAAGGUUCCUCCAUCCUCCACGAUGGCUGACCAAUUCCACCAUUUCUACUCCGGAUUCCAUACUUCAAACCCACACCGCGCGCCCCACCAGCCGUCGCCGCCGGGAAACCCGCUACCUCCGCGCCGCCGCCGCCAAAUCCCGCUGCGCCCCGCCUGCAAAUCCCGUUGCGCCUGUCACCUCCGGCAAAUUCGCCCUAGCCACCUCCGUGCCGUCACCGCCGCCAAAUCCUGUUGUGCCCUGCCUGCAAAUCCCGCUGCGCCCCAGCAAGCCUUGAGUACGCCUGGUGUGGAACUACUAUGAAUGUCACGACCCCUGGUGGAGUUGGAGGACCGACGGAGGAUAAAGGAGAGGACAGCGAGGCCGGGUCCGAGGUCAGAGCGGCGCGGGAGCGAAGGAGACUGAGGACUGGAUGUGGGCUGCUUCUCCAGAUAAGCUUGUUAUUCAAGUGUAGCACCACCGGUUAAUACUUUGGUCUGAAAUUUGAGCUAAAGAGGCAUUGCGUGUUUAAAAUUUUAGCUAAAUAUGCAUUGUUGUCUAAAACUGGGCUAAAUAUGCAUUGACGUCUUAGAUAACCUAUCGCUGAUGUCUAAGAUGCAUGCUUUUAUUUUAAUAAACACUUGAUUGGGUAAUUUGAGCUAAAUAUGCAUUUAUAGUUUAAGCUAAUUAGGUUGUACACCACCAACACAAAUGAUUACACGCAAACAGACCUCAAUGAGAUUUUUUGCGAGAGCUUAGAUUUUCUGUUAGAAAAUUAUGCAAACUGUAACAUGUUUUCCUUUCCUUCGUCUUGUUCUUGUGCUGAAACUUGCCGCCUUGGAUCACCCAUCACUAAUCCAUAUUGUGGAUGUUUUUUAUUAAGUGUGCACAAAUUAACAUCAUGAAUCUACCAUUGGCCAAAUUCUAUUUAUGCAUUGUCAACUUCUAUACAACCUUUAGACUGCAAACUGCAUUUUCUUGAACAUCCAACUUCUCAUCCUUGUUAUAUAGGGCUAGAGAAACAUAAAGCGAGGCUAAUCUCUAUUCCAAGGUUCUCUGAAAGUGGCGUUGCUGCAAUGAUAUGUUCUUAUAUGAUUGAGUACAAGUAUAGCAUAGUGUGCUGGUGAAAACCAUUUUGCUUCCAGGGGCUUAAGGCCAUGUUUCAAUAUUUUGUCCUGCUGGUUUACUUCCACCACACAAUUGUUGAAUCACAUUGCUUAUGCAUUUGUGGACUAUUUUGCAUAUAUUUAUUUCUGCAUAAAUGGCUGUAGAGGUGAAUAAUACCCUUAUUUACCUUGUCCAUUUAUUAGUUUCCUCGUUUUUUAAAUGAUGUGUUCCCACUUUAAAUAUCUGCUGAACUUCACAAUCUUCAGAAUAUUUGGUACUUUCAGUCCAGCUCUCAACCAGUUAUUACCAUCGACAUUCUAAAACUGACUAUGUAUUCCAAAUUAUAGACUGUUUUUAGCUUUUCUUCAUACCUAUCUACUACCUUUGUUCUAAAUUAUAAAGACACUUUGGCUUUUCUAUAUCCAUUUUUUUCGAUACACUAAGAUCUAUGUGUAGAUACAUUUAGGAUGAAGUGAGUAUAAGGAUUUGCUACUUAUAUUUUAUAGCUUUGGCUACAUUUUGGUUUGUUUAAUUGCCUAAUAUACACUACCUGGUUUGUUUAAUUUCCCAUUAUAAUUUUAAUUUCUAGGAAGGAAUGCAAGUGCAAUGUUGUCAGAUUCUUUGCAAUUAUAUCAUCACAACAAUCUAGAAGUGGCUGGUUUCAGACACUGCUUAAUAGUUGUCUAUAUUGCUUUGGUCCCCUACUUAAAUAAGUGGUAUGUAUCUGUUCUUAUCUGACAUAGACGUUUGACAUUGAAUCUGUAUCAUCAAUUAUCCGUGACGUGAAACCUAAGAGCAAACAUGUGUCAGGUAAUUAUAUCCGACAGAGGAGAACUUUCAAGAGUUCAAGAGAUUCCUCAAGUACCUAAAGACGUGUUUGAGUGUUUGUUAAAAUUUAAAGAUGUCUUUAAAUUUAAACAUUCCGAGGGUAUGAAUUUUAAGAUAUAUCAGGCACCAUGUGCUGGAUUUUAUAAAAUAUCCUGGUUAGUUUUACUUGUGACCUUGUGAGUUGUAGAUACCUUGCGAUGUAAGUUACGUUUUCUACUAGAUCUUAUUGCUCUGCACUAUUUCAAAUUUUGUGGAGCGGUCCAGACAUAACUUAGCUCUGCAUGUAAUAAAUUACAAAUCAAUUUGAGAAUACUGUAUAGUGAUGUUGUGAUAUUGGAUUAUUUAAAUAAAAAAGAUGUUCACUUGCACCACAUGGAUAUAUUGUGAGAAAUCUUUGUUUUGUAGAAUACUUGUUGGUGGUUCUACCCUGCGGAAUAGCUGCUGCAUAUAAAUACACCGGAUUACUCAAUAAACAACAACCAAUUUUAUGAAAAGGCAACAAAUGCUUAGCAUGGAGUGCAUCCAUUUUACUUUUUGUCGUCCUGACAAAGCAAAGCAUGCACUAGCACUGGUCUGCCAUCAUUCAAGCAUGUAUCAUAGUUUAAAUAUUUGAUUUAUGGUUCAGUUGUAGGUGAAAAGUGUGUUCCUUACCCUAAUCAUUAAUAGUAACUCAACAGUAAUGAAAUGUAAAAUGAGAUUCUGUUUUCCCUACAUCUUUAGCUUACUCGUGCUUUAAAUAAGUUAGCAGAACUAUCAUAAAGAUAUGGCCAUUUUGGUCCUCUUCCCAUAGAUAGCGUAGCUACUGACUACUCAAAUUGUUGUAGUUGAAUCUGAUAUAUCUAUUACAAAAAUUAAUCCUAGGACCUCGUCCAUCCUCACGUGGCAGCACCAAUCCCCCACUUCCAUACUUCAAAUUGCUUUAUUUACCAGCAAUAUAAACUUCAAGGCUGUUAGUUGUAUAUAAUUGAUUUUUUUGUUGAAUGACAUUUGAUUACUAUGCCUUGUCAGGUGUCACUCUUGAUUGAUGUUUCAAACAAAAAAGAUGUCAUUCUUGGUUAUGUAGUAGUGAUCAUGCAGCAGCAUAUAAAGCACAUGUGUUCCAGGUGACUCUAACUUUAAUUAUUAGCUAACUAUAACUUGGCUGCUGCAGCAAAGAAAGGGGACUGUCCUUAAGGCUCUAUUCAUGAGCACGAUGCCAAAAAAGAGCCGGUCCAACUGUUGAUGGCAUCGCCUCUGAUUUUUUUACGAUUCAGACGCCCCGAAUCGACGCACGAUCUGCGCUCUCCAGGGAACACUUGAGAUGAUGUCUGAUGUUAUUGAUGAAACACUUGACAAAGAUGAGGCGGAGGAGGAAACAGAAGAGCUUACAAACCAGGGACUUCUGCAUCAUCAGGCAGGAGUGGACUGUCGUCCACAUCCAGUCCGCCUUCCAUGCAUUCCUGGUAGGCUUACCCGCCGCCUUUGUUUUUUUUUGUUCUCUCACCGGUUCUUGUCAGUGGAUGUGUGAAUGCUUGGAGGGCGUUGAGGGCACUGCGGGGCAUUGUGCGGAUGCAGGCGCUGGUGCGCGGCUGCCGCGUGCGCAAGCAGCUCGCAAUCAUGCAAAAGUGCAUGAACACGCUCCUCAAGGUACAGGAGCACGGACGAGACCGUUGCUUCUAGAUCUCCAUGGACGUCUGCCACUUGCAAGACAUCCUUGACGACCGAAGCGACCAUGCUAAUCCUGUCAAGGAAGCGGAGGUGCAACCUGUAUGGAAAUCACCCGGCCUCAGAAAGGCCAACAGAAAUCACAUGCUUCUUUACCUCUGGUGUCCGUGCUACUGGCCCAAGCCGAGGGCAGUCUUGGCUCCAAAACCAAGUGGGAAAGAAACCUUCACCUCAAAUGGUUCUCAUGGCCCCUAGGUAUGAAUUGAACCAGCCUUCGAAUGAAAGUUAUUCGGUUUUCAGUCAGCUGUUUGGUUGCAGUCUCAAUGCAUUUUUCUAUUUCCGUUUGGUUGUGUAGAAUUGAGGCAUGUUGAGGUGUACGUCCAAAUGCAUAUGCUGGAAAGGUAGUAUAUUAGCUGCAACUGUUUGUCAGCAGAACCAACUGGUGGAGACGAUCUAGAGCCCCGAGUUGUGGUUGCUUUAGGCGAUUCAUCUAAACCCGACCUGUCCCAUGUAAUAGAAAGCUCUGCUAUAGAAAAUAUACGUGUAGCCUUUUGUCUCACAGGUAUCGUUCGUGCGCAUUCUAUCAGGCGACGCGUCCGUUGUAUUAUGCUCGUGCUUUGUCGCUCCUCCACUAACGGUGUCAAUCGGGUUACUCCAACAUCAUUUUUCACCAAAUGUGAGCAUGUUAAGAACUCUAUUAUAUCUCAUCCUUGCAGCCCUCACCCAAUUAAGCAAUUUUGAUGAGCAAGACAAUGUCCCAAACACAAUCGUGGGAGCAGCGCACGGACAUGUACAUGAGCCCCUUUAUACUUA